rnacentral:rRNA from 1 species
GGCAGCAGUAGGGAAUCUUCGGCAAUGGGCAAAAGCCUGACCGAGCAACGCCGCGUGAGCGAUGAAGGCCUUCGGGUCGUAAAGCUCUGUUGUUAGAGAAGAACAAGUACGAGAGUAACUGCUCGUACCUUGACGGUACCUAACCAGAAAGCCACGGCUAACUACGUGCCAGCAGCCGCGGUAAU